AGUCGGACCUGCCCGGUGACUAUAUUGUUAAACGGCCGCGGUACCCUAACCGUGCAAAGGUAGCAUAAUCAUUUGCCUUUUAAUUGGAGGCUGGUAUGAAWGGUUUGACGAGAGCUAAGCUGUCUCUUUUGAAAUAUAUAUAAAUUAACUUUUAGGUGAAGAGGCCUAAAUUUGUGUAAGGGACAAGAAGACCCUGUUGAGCUUUAGUGAAGUUAUAAAUAUUUAACGUUGAUGAGAUGUUAGUAUAUACUAGUAUAAUUAUAAUUUGUAAUUAAUCUUUAGUUGGGGCGACUGAGGAACAUAAAAAGCUUCCUUACAGUAGAUCAAUUGAUUUUAAAAUAUAUCAUUUUGAUGCUGACAUGUUACUUUGAUCCAAAAUUGUUUUGAUUAAAGGAAAAAGUUACCACAGGGAUAACAGCGUAAUCUUUCUGGAGAGAUCUUAUCGAAAGAAGGGUUUGCGACCUCGAUGUUGGACUAAGAUAUCCUAAGGGUGUAGAAGUUCUUAAAGGUUGGUCUGUUCGACCAUUAAAAUCUUACGUGAU
rnacentral:rRNA from 1 species